ACGAACGCUGGCGGCAGGCUUAACACAUGCAAGUCGAGCGCCCUGCUUGCAGGGAGCGGCAGACGGGUGAGUAACGCGUGGGAAUCUACCCAGCUCUACGGAAUAACACAGAGAAAUUUGUGCUAAUACCGUAUACGUCCUUCGGGAGAAAGAUUUAUCGGAGUUGGAUGAGCCCGCGUUGGAUUAGCUAGUUGGUGGGGUAAUGGCCCACCAAGGCGACGAUCCAUAGCUGGUCUGAGAGGAUGAUCAGCCACACUGGGACUGAGACACGGCCCAGACUCCUACGGGAGGCAGCAGUGGGGAAUAUUGGACAAUGGGCGAAAGCCUGAUCCAGCCAUGCCGCGUGAGUGAUGAAGGCCCUAGGGUUGUAAAGCUCUUUCACCGGUGAAGAUAAUGACGGUAACCGGAGAAGAAGCCCCGGCUAACUUCGUGCCAGCAGCCGCGGUAAU
rnacentral:rRNA from 1 species